rnacentral:rRNA from 1 species
GCGAGGAAUUUUCCGCAAUGGGCGAAAGCCUGACGGAGCAACGCCGCGUGGGGGAAGAAGGCCUUCGGGUUGUAAACCCCUGUUGCGAGGGAAGAAGAUCUGACGGUACCUCGCGAGGAAGCCACGGCUAACUACGUGCCAGCAGCCGCGGUAAUACGUAGGUGGCAAGCGUUGUCCGGAUUUACUGGGCGUAAAGCGCGCGCAGGCGGACUGGUCAGUCCGGGGUGAAAUCUCACGGCUCAACCGUGAGGGGUCCCUGGAUACUGCCAGCCUUGAGGGGCUCAGAGGAGAGUGGAAUUCCGGGUGUAGUGGUGGAAUGCGUAGAUAUCCGGAGGAACACCAGUGGCGAAAGCGGCUCUCUGGGGGCAACCUGACGCUGAGGCGCGAAAGCGUGGGGAGCGAACCGGAUUAGAUACCCUUGUAGUCC